UUUAAACACCGGUUCAGCGAAGUUAAGCAACAUCGAGGCAGGCCAGUACCUCGAUGGGUGACCGCUUGGGAAUACCAGGUGCUGUAUG